rnacentral:rRNA from 1 species
UACGGAGGGUGCAAGCGUUAUCCGGAUUCACUGGGUUUAAAGGGUGCGUAGGUGGGCUGGUAAGUCAGUGGUGAAAUCUCCAGGCUUAACUUGGAAACUGCCAUUGAUACUAUCAGUCUUGAAUACCGUGGAGGUCAGCGGAAUACGUCAUGUAGCGGUGAAAUGCUUAGAUAUCGUCAAGAACACCGAUAGCGAAGGCAGCUUACCAAGCAGUAACUGACGCUGAGGCACGAAAGUGCGGGGAUCAAACAGG